AGGACCAAAGGGACCUGAAGAGA
rnacentral:piRNA from 1 species